rnacentral:rRNA from 1 species
AAGACCUUACGCUUUUGGAGCGGCCGAUGUCUGAUUAGCUUGUUGGUGAGGUAAAGGCUUACCAAGGCUUCGAUCAGUAGCUGGUCUGAGAGGACGACCAGCCACACUGGGACUGAGACACGGCCCAGACUCCUACGGGAGGCAGCAGUGGGGAAUUUUGGACAAUGGGGGAAACCCUGAUCCAGCCAUGCCGCGUGAGUGAAGAAGGCCUUCGGGUUGUAAAGCUCUUUCAGCCGGAACGAAACGGUUACGAUUAAUACCUGUAACUACUGACGGUACCGGAAGAAGAAGCACCGGCUAACUACGUGUCAGCAGCCGCGGUAAUACGUAGGGUGCGAGCGUUAAUCGGAAUUACUGGGCGUAAAGCGUGCGCAGGUGGUUUUGUAAGUCAGAUGUGAAAUCCCCGGGCUUAACCUGGGAACU